rnacentral:rRNA from 1 species
UACGAAGGGGGCUAGCGUUGUUCGGAAUUACUGGGCGUAAAGGACGCGUAGGCGGUGUGUCAAGUCAGGCGUGAAAGCCCCGGGCUCAACCUGGGAACCGCGCUUGAGACUGGCACGCUAGAGUUCGGGAGAGGAUGGUGGAAUUCCCAGUGUAGAGGUGAAAUGCGUAGAUAUUGGGAGGAACACCAGUGGCGAAGGCGGCUGACUGGACCGGUACUGACGCUGAGGCGCGAAAGCGUGGGGAGCAAACGGG